GGAAUUUUGGACAAUGGGGGCAACCCUGAUCCAGCCAUGCCGCGUGCGGGAAGAAGGCCUUCGGGUUGUAAACCGCUUUUGUCGGGGAAGAAACGCUCUGGGUUAAUACCCUGGGGUAAUGACGGUACCCGAAGAAUAAGCACCGGCUAACUACGUGCCAGCAGCCGCGGUAAUACGUAGGGUGCGAGCGUUAAUCGGAAUUACUGGGCGUAAAGCGUGCGCAGGCGGUUUUGUAAGCCAGAUGUGAAAUCCCCGGGCUUAACCUGGGAAUGGCAUUUGGGACUGCAAGGCUUGAGUGCGGCAGAGGAGACUGGAAUUCCCGGUGUAGCAGUGAAAUGCGUAGAUAUCUGGAGGAACACCGGUGGCGAAGGCGGCAUCCUGGACCGGUAUUGACGCUGAGGCGCGAAAGCUAGGGGAGCAAAC
rnacentral:rRNA from 1 species